rnacentral:rRNA from 1 species
AGAGUUUGAUCAUGGCUCAGAGCGAACGCUGGCGGCAGGCUUAACACAUGCAAGUCGAACGGACGCAGCAAUGCGUCAGUGGCAGACGGGUGAGUAACACGUGGGAACGUGCCCUUCGGUUCGGAACAACCCAGGGAAACUUGGGCUAAUACCGGAUACGUCCGCAAGGAGAAAGAUUUAUCGCCGAAGGAUCGGCCCGCGUCUGAUUAGCUUGUUGGUGAGGUAAUGGCUCACCAAGGCGACGAUCAGUAGCUGGUCUGAGAGGAUGAUCAGCCACACUGGGACUGAGACACGGCCCAGACUCCUACGGGAGGCAGCAGUGGGGAAUAUUGGACAAUGGGCGAAAGCCUGAUCCAGCCAUGCCGCGUGAGUGAUGAAGGCCUUAGGGUUGUAAAGCUCUUUCGGCGGGGAAGAUAAUGACGGUACCCGCAGAAGAAGCCCCGGCUAACUUCGUGCCAGCAGCCGCGGUAAUACGAAGGGGGUUAGCGUUGCUCGGAAUCACUGGGCGUAAAGCGCACGUAGGCGGAUUGUUAAGUCAGGGGUGAAAUCCUGGAGCUCAACUCCAGAACUGCCUUUGAUACUGGCGAUCUUGAGUCCGGGAGAGGUGAGUGGAAUUGCGAGUGUAGAGGUGAAAUUCGUAGAUAUUCGCAAGAACACCAGUGGCGAAGGCGGCUCACUGGCCCGGUACUGACGCUCAGGUGCGAAAGCGUGGGGAGCAAACAGGAUUAGAUACCCUAGUAGUCC